GACGAACGCUGGCGGCGUGCCUAAUACAUGCAAGUAGAACGCUGAAGGAGGAGCUUGCUUCUCUGGAUGAGUUGCGAACGGGUGAGUAACGCGUAGGUAACCUGCCUGGUAGCGGGGGAUAACUAUUGGAAACGAUAGCUAAUACCGCAUAAGAGUAGAUGUUGCAUGACAUUUGCUUAAAAGGUGCAAUUGCAUCACUACCAGAUGGACCUGCGUUGUAUUAGCUAGUUGGGGGGGUAACGGCUCACCAAGGCGACGAUACAUAGCCGACCUGAGAGGGUGAUCGGCCACACUGGGACUGAGACACGGCCCAGACUCCUACGGGAGGCAGCAGUAGGGAAUCUUCGGCAAUGGACGGAAGGCUGACCGAGCAACGCCGCGUGAGUGAAGAAGGGUUUCGGAUCGUAAAGCUCUGUUGUAAGAGAAGAACGAGUGUGAGAGUGGAAAGUUCACACUGUGACGGUAUCUUACCAGAAAGGGACGGCUAACUACGUG
rnacentral:rRNA from 1 species